GACGUAGGGCGCGAGCGUUGUCCGGAUUUAUUGGGCGUAAAGAGCUCGUAGGCGGUCUGUCGCGUCGGCUGUGAAAACUCGGGGCUCAACUCCGAGCUUGCAGUCGAUACGGGGCAGGCUAGAGUUCGGGCAGGGGAGGAACUGGAAUUCCUGGUGUAGCGGUGAAAUGCGCAGAUAUCAGGAGGAACACCAAUAGCGAAGGCAGCUCGCUGGGACGGUACUGACGCUGAGGCGCGAAAGCGGUGGGAGCGAACAGG
rnacentral:rRNA from 1 species